rnacentral:rRNA from 1 species
AGAGACAGCAGUAGCCGCGGGAAUACGUAGGUCCCGAGCGUUGUCCGGAUUUAUUGGGCGUAAAGCGAGCGCAGGCGGUUAGAUAAGUCUGAAGUUAAAGGCUGUGGCUUAACCAUAGUACGCUUUGGAAACUGUUUAACUUGAGUGCAAGAGGGGAGAGUGGAAUUCCAUGUGUAGCGGUGAAAUGCGUAGAUAUAUGGAGGAACACCGGUGGCGAAAGCGGCUCUCUGGCUUGUAACUGACGCUGAGGCUCGAAAGCGUGGGGAGCAAACAGGAUUAGAUACCCGUGUAGUCCCUGUCUCUUAUACA